rnacentral:rRNA from 1 species
AUGACGCAUCAGCGAAAGCCUCAGGAGAUGCUUCAGGACUUUCAUCCUUUGCAGGACUCACAUCUUCUGCACCAUCAAAGUUAUACCGGGACCGUGAAAACCGCCACUCAGAAUUUUCUAUCCCGACCCCCAGACAAACUUAAGCUGUCAUUUCCAAGCUGCAGCUACUUUUUUUCAGCAACUUUAUCUCUUCAUCUUUGUAAGCAAGAUGCUGAACUAUUUCAUCCAACAGAUGGGCGCUCUAAAUUGAUGAUGCAGUGGUUCUGCUCGAUCCCCCGAAGGCUUCUGUGGCACACAACAACUUUGAUGUGCAUUUUACCAGACAGUUUUAAUCAAAAUACUAUCCGGCUUUAUUCAUUAUAA